rnacentral:rRNA from 1 species
GACGAACGCUGGCGGCGUGCCUAAUACAUGCAAGUCGAGCGGAAUGAUGAAGAAGCUUGCUUCUUCUGAUUUUAGCGGCGGACGGGUGAGUAACACGUGGGCAACCUACCUUGUAGAUUGGGAUAACUCCGGGAAACCGGGGCUAAUACCGAAUAAUCCAUUUUGCUUCAUGGCGAGAUGUUGAAAGACGGUUUCGGCUGUCACUACAAGAUGGGCCCGCGGCGCAUUAGCUAGUUGGUAGGGUAAUGGCCUACCAAGGCGACGACGCGUAGCCGACCUGAGAGGGUGAUCGGCCACACUGGGACUGAGACACGGCCCAGACUCCUACGGGAGGCAGCAGUAGGGAAUCUUCCGCAAUGGACGAAAGUCUGACGGAGCAACGCCGCGUGAGUGAAGAAGGUUUUCGGAUCGUAAAACUCUGUUGUUAGGGAAGAACACGUACGAGAGUAACUGCUCGUACCUUGACGGUACCUAACCAGAAAGCCACGGCUAACUACGUG